UACGUAGGAAGCGAGCGUUGUCCGGAAUCACUGGGCGUAAAGCGCGUGUAGGCGGUACGGCAAGUCUGCUGUGAAAGCGCCCGGCUUAACCGGGCGAGGUCGGCGGAAACUGCUGAACUGGAGGACGGUAGAGGGGGGUGGAAUUCCCGGUGUAGUGGUGAAAUGCGUAGAUAUUAGGAAGAACACCGGUGGCGAAGGCGGCCCACUGGCUCGAUACUGACGCUGAGGUGCGAAAGCGUGGGGAGCAAACAGG
rnacentral:rRNA from 1 species